UACAGGGGGGUGCAAACGUUGCUCGGAAUUAUUGGGCGUAAAGCGCACGUAGGCGCCUGUUAUGUCGGAUGUGAAAGCCCUUGGCUUAACUGAGGAAGUGCAUCCGAAACUGGCAGGCUAGAGUACUAAAGAGGGUCGCGGAAUUCCCGGUGUAGAGGUGAAAUUCGUAGAUAUCGGGAGGAACACCGGUGGCGAAGGCGGCGACCUGGGUAGAUACUGACGCUGAGGUGCGAAAGCGUGGGGAGCAAACAGG
rnacentral:rRNA from 1 species